rnacentral:rRNA from 1 species
GACGAACGCUGGCGGCGUGCCUAAGACAUGCAAGUCGAGCGGGGCUUCGGGGCUUCGGCCCUGAAGCCUAGCGGCGGACGGGUGAGUAACACGUGGAUAACCUGCCCUCUGCUCUGGGAUAACAGGCCGAAAGGCCUGCUAAUACCGGAUAGGCUCACGGUCCCGCAUGGGGCUGGGAGAAAAGGCGCUGGAGUCAGUGGCGCUGGCAGAGGAGGGGUCCGCGGCCCAUUAGCUGGUUGGCGGGGUAACGGCCCACCAAGGCGACGAUGGGUAGCCGGCCUGAGAGGGCGACCGGCCACACUGGGACUGAGACACGGCCCAGACUCCUACGGGAGGCAGCAGUCGGGAAUUUUGCACAAUGGCCGAAAGGCUGAUGCAGCAACGCCGCGUGAGCGAAGAAGGCCUUCGGGUUGUAAAGCUCUGUUGCCUGCGAAGAAGGGCCCUGUCAGGAAAUGGGCGGGGUUUGACGGUAGCAGGCGAGGAAGCCCCGGCAAACUACGUGCCAGCAGCCGCGGUAAUACGUAGGGGGCGAGCGUUGUCCGGAAUUACUGGGCGUAAAGGGCGUGUAGGCGGCCUGUUAAGUCAGGGGUGAAAGACCGGGGCUCAACCCCGGGGGUGCCUCUGAAACUGGCGGGCUUGAGUGCUCUAGAGGGCAGUGGAAUUCCCGGUGUAGCAGUGAAAUGCGUAGAGAUCGGGAGGAACACCAGUGGCGAAGGCGGCUGCCUGGGGAGUCACUGACGCUGAGGCGCGAAAGCUAGGGGAGCAAACAGGAUUAGAUACCCUGGUAGUCCUAGCCGUAAACGAUGAGUGCUAUGUGUGAGGGGUAUCGACCCCCCUCGUGCAGGAGCUAACGCACUAAGCACUCCGCCUGGGGAGUACGGCCGCAAGGUUGA